rnacentral:lncRNA from 1 species
CCGCCGCCGUCUCUGUCUCUCAUCUCCCUCGCCUGAGCCCGGCCUCGCCUCACAGCGGCUCAACAUUCAAACUUCCAUCACGGCUGCAGCUUCUGAGAGGAGAGCAUCUUCUAGGAUCAUGUAGUCGGAGAUUAAAAAGAGUUCUACUUUUUCCUUUCCAACCUGGAAGCCUUUUAUUGCAAUUUCUUAUCUGACUGUACUGUCUGAUAUCUCCAGUGCAAGGUUGAAUAAAAGUAGUGAAAACAGACAUUGUUACUUUGCUACCAAAAUUAUAGGCAAAGCAUUCAGUCUUUUGAAGCUUUCAUGUUUAAGGCCUCAAGGAUGCUGUAGUUACACAAUUCCCAAGACACAGAAUCAUUGGGACAGGAAAGGAAUUCAUUCUACUGUGUCCCCAGAAUAUGAAUCAUGUUGCAAUGUACUGGUAUCGACAGAACCCAGGACUUGGACUGAAGCUAGUCUAUUAUUCACCUGGCACUGGGAGCAUUGAAAAAGGAGAUGUCUCUGAGAGGUAUCAUGUUUCUUGAAAUACUAUAGCAUCUUUUCUCCUGACCCUGAAGUCUGCUAGCACCAACCAGACAUGUGUGUAUCUCUGCGCCAGCAGUUCAUCCACAGCACUGCAUAGCUGCCACAUCCUCUCCACAUAAAAAAAGGUGCAUACCAAAGAGGAAAAGCCUGCCCUCAAAAUUCCUCACCGCAAAUAAGAGAAGUUACCUCACAGGUAUUGACAAAAAGAGCCAAACUCUGUAAAAUAUUUGAAGAGAUUUAUUCUGAGCCAAACAUGAGUGAGCAUGGCCAGAGGCAGAGGCUCAAGGGCCUAAGAACGUGUGUCCAAGGUGGUCAGCCUACAGCUUGGUUUUAUACCUUUUUGGAGACAUCAGACAUCAAUCAAUACAUGUAAGCUGUACAUUGUUUCAAUUUGGAAAGGUGGGACAACUCAAAGAGGGGGCUUCCGGGUCAUAGGUGGAUUCAAAGAUUUUUCAGACUGGCAGUUGGUUGAAAGAGUUAAGUUAUCGUCUAAAGAUUUGAAAUCAAUAUAAAGAAGUAUCUGGGUUGUGGGGACCAAGGUUCUUAUUAUGCAGAUGAAGCCUCCAGGGAGCAGGCUUCAGAGAGAAUAGAUUGUAUUUCUUAAUCAAACUUUUAAAAGGUGCCAGACUCAUAAUUCUCUUCUGGAUCAGGGGAAAAACCUGAAAAGGAAAGAGAAUUAUCUACAGAAUGUAGAUUUCCCUCAUGAUAGACAGCUUUGUAGGGCCGUUUAAAAAUAUGUCGGAAAAUACAUUUUGGGGUAAAAUAUUGAUUUUUUUCAGGGCCUGCUAGGAGUCAUGUUGGUGUCUUAUUGCUACAAAGGGUCUGUUUUGUCACUCAUAAGGUUUCCAUUGUAAUGUUAAUGCUGGUUGGUUGUGCCUGAAUUCUAAAGUGAAGAGGGUAUAAUGAGGCAUGUCUGACCCCACUUCCCACUAAGAACUGAACUGGUUUUUCAUGUUAACUUUGGAAUGCUCUUGGCCAAGAGAAGGGGUCCACACAGUUGGUUGUGGGGCUUAGGAUUUUAUUUUUGGUUCACACAAAAGUAUACCAAUGUCCUCCCCUAGGUUUGAUAUGCCCUGCUUCCCUCUUUCCAUUUUUGUCCUUCUAGGACACCUUUUUGGUUGUUAUUAAACCCUUCAUUUCUUGUCAAUAUCCCACUAGACUAUAGGGCAUCAACACAAUAUGAACACUUGUCUUGGUUUAUUUGUGCUACUAUAGCAAAAUAACUGAGAUUGGAUAAUUUAUAAACAUGAACUUGUCACAGUUCUGUAGGCUCAGAAGCCCAGAACAAAGCACCUCAGGUUCAAUUUCUGGUGAGGGCCUUGGUCUCUGCUUCCAAGAUGGCACCUUGAGUGCUAUGUCAUCACAUGAGAAAAGUGCCUAAGCUGGUUCCCUACCCUUUUAUGAGUCACUAAUCCAUUCAUGAGAGCAGAACCCUCAUGACCUAAUCACUUCCCACCUCUUAAUACUGCCACAAUGGGGAUUACAUUUCAAAAUGAAUUUUAGAAGAAACACAUUCAAACCACAGCACAUUUCUAGACAAACUUUCAGACACAGAUGUAGAGAAAUUUUAAUGAAAUUGAAUUUUAACCAAGUGAAGACAACCCACAGAUUUGCAAAUACCCUUCUAAGAUUCUUCAAAGAUAUCUCAAUGGUUAAUCACGUUGUUUAGGAAAAUGAGAACAGUGACAGCAAGACCUUCUCAGUGGUACAAUGGCCUCAGCAGCAGUAAAAGAGGGUAGUAAACAUUAUGCAGACUUUGUGUGGGCUCUGGAUCACCCACAGAGAAGAAAGUUAUUUUGUAUGUAUGUGUGUAACUGUAUGUUUAAGAGAAAUGAACUGUUUAUUUACAGGGAUUAUUGAGGAGCAGAACCUCACUUGGGUAGAUGCAGGUGUAACUUUUAAGAUCAAUAUCCAUGGCUUUGAAUAGAUAGGCUAGAGAUACAGCAGAUUUACUUAGUUCCCCAAAGAUGCAUGUUGGGUGAUACCCACCUAUAUUAGUUUUCCAAUUACUGCAAAUUCAGUAGGUUAAAGUAACAAUUGUCUUAUCUCACAGUUCUGUAUGUCUGAAGUCCAGGAAAGUAUGGCUGGAUUUUUCUCAGGGUCUUAUAAGGUGGAAAUCAAGGGGUCAGCUGUCUGCAUUUUCAUCAGGAGAUUGGCUACUCCUCCUAGAUUAUUCCUAGUACUGGUAGAAUUUGGUUCCUUGUGACAGCAGGUCUAGGGUCUCCAUUUUUUAUUGGCUGUCAGCUCCUUGCAGUUUCUUUCUGGUCCCCUUGAUCUUCAAAUGCACAUCAAAUCUGUCUCAUGUUUAAAAUCCUGUGAUACCCACUUCUGCUUCAAGACAGAAAACUCUGCAUUUAAAGGGCUCUGGUGAUUAGGUUAGGCCAACCUGAAUAGUAUUUAUUUUGUCAAAUAAUGUAACAUAAUCGCUGGAGUGACAUAUCAUAUUUUUAGGUUCCACUCAUGCUGAAAGUGAAGGACAUUAUACAUGGGCAUGAGUCACUGGAGGUCAUUCUUGGAAUUCUGCCUACCAUACCAAUGGAGAUCAAAUGCCAGGAAAGUCAGGAAUAGAAAUUCAGAGAGCAUACAAUCAAAUAUAUUAAAUUAGAAUUCAAAACUAUUCAAGAGAUGGUUCAGAGUUUUGGCCAAGCAGUGGAUCAAAUUUUCUUACUACUGCUUAAUCAAGGAUACAGUACAGAAGUAAAAUGAAUUGAUCUUUAUUAAAAUGGAGCAAAGACCAGGUCUAGGAAGGAAAGGCAAGAAGGUGGAAUAGAUUUGCUCUUACUGGAAGAACACUGGAGAUUCAAGACAAGAAACAGAAUUGUUUUAGUCCCUGAGUUAACAAAUAAAAGAAAGAUGAGACCAGAACAGUUGUCAAUGAAGGAGCAGUGAAGUAGAAAGGAAGGAUGGAGUGAAUGUGGAGAGCACUUUUCUGAAGAGAAUAAACUUAGUUGUCAGAUGAAAGGAGAUUUAUAAUUAGCUUUGUCCUUACAAAUUUUGAGGUAACUUACCAUGGAAAUACUUUUUCUUAUCAGUUGAUUAAUCUGGGGGGAGGUAGCAUAAUCCUUUGAAAUUCCAGUGCGUAGAAAACUAGGCUCGACCUCAAGAUGAAGCCUCAAAAAAGAAAUGUCUGUUAGAAUCCAGUUAACAGGAGAACACCUACUGCGACUUUAUUAUCAGCAAGUUGGUGAAAACUUCCUGAAGAAGAAAUGUGGGAUGAUACAGAAACUGAUUAAAGUCUCAGAACAGCAAAUAGUUUCUCCUCUUGUGAAUUAAUUCACCUUCCACAAUUAAACAGAGAUAACUCAGGGUACCUCAAAUACUGAUGAGCUUGACAGAAAUGAAUUGCCACCUAAUUCCAUUGAUGGAGAAAGAUAAGACAAUGAGCAAAGAAAAGGGACUUUCAGAGAGAAGAAUUGUUGAGAAGGUAGCAGUCCUUUCUCUUUCCAUGAGGUAGUUGCUAUUCAUUACUCUGUGAUGGGGACUGGGAACACAAGAAUCACCACUUAGGGAUUAAUGAAUUCAAGAUCUGUACCUUCCAUUUUGAUCCAAAUUUGAACUUAAAUUUAUUCAGGACACCAACUGAAUACUUCUACCUAAAGGUAAAACUCAUAUCAUAUUUCCCUCCCAAGCUGCAUUUCCUCUGAGUUCCUGACUUGACGGAGUCAUUUAUUUGUACAAUAUAUGAACGCUGAGAGUUGUGCCACAUUUCUCUCUCUUUUGCCCUGGACAUCCAAUUUUUAUGCAACACUUUCAUUUCUAACUCCUAAAUAUCUUAGUUUACUAUCUCAAUCACUGCAACCACUGACAUGUUUAUGCCCUUUUUACUAGCUUGCCAAAUAAAUAUAAAAGAGCUCAUUAAUCUCUCUAGUUCCUUAUUAAUCCUCAUUUCAUCUAAUCUAGUAUUAGUAUUAUACCCAAGUAUAAUCUUCCAAAUUGCAAAAAUCUGUUUCUAUCACUCUUUCUGCAGCAUCCUUCACUGGCUCCCCCAUGGUCUACAAUAUAUACAAUCUAAGUUUUAAAAAGAAAAAAACUUAUGACUAUCCCUUAUUUUGAAAAAAGGAAAAUUAGUCCUUUACUAGAAAAAUAGCACUGUAUUAUAAUGUCAAGUUCACACUAGAGUCUACGAUGGUGUCAAAGAGCUCUAUAUUUUUCUUCUUGAGUCACUUUGAUAUCCUCCCACAGUAAGACCAUUACAGUUGGUGUAUUGGUCUGUUCUCACACUGCUAUGAAGAAAUACCUGAGGCUGUGUAAUUUAUAAAGCAAAGAGGGUUAAUUGGUUCACAGUUCCACAUUGCUGGGGAGGCCUCAGAAAACUUACAAUCAUGGUGGAAGGCAAAAGAGAGGCAGGCACCUUCUUCACAGGGUGGCAGGAUGGAGUGAGUGCCAGCAGGGGAAAUGCCAGAUGCUUGUAAAACCAUCAGAUCUCGUGAGACUCACUCAUUAUCAUGAGAACAGCAUGGGGGAAACUGCUCCCAUGAUUUAAUUACCUACACCUGGUGCCACCCUUGACACGUGUGGAUUAUAGAGAUUAUAAUUCAAGGUAAGAUUUAGAUGGGGACACAGAGCCAAACCAUAUCAGUUGGGUACUGAGAAGGACAUACUGUAUUAAUCAUGCCUUCUUAUUGUCUGUAUUUUCUAAUGUUUUGACAUCCAUAUUUUCUGAUGUUUUGACAUCUGGGGACUUGCUGAUCUUGGAGGGACUGACCCUCUCAGGGUUAACUCAUUCCUAGGGGUAGCAAACUGCUUUCCCUAGAGCAUGCCUUUCAUAUCAAAUCAACCAAUCCAAACCUCUACUCCAACCCACCUUCUUUAUUGGGCUCUCAUACUCUGAGCCCCUAUUCUCCUACCCUAAUUACCACAGGGCCAGGUACUAAACAACUUGAGAUAAUCCCUACACUUUGUAGCCUGCUCAAAAAUUUAAACCAGCCAAUGCUAAACCUAUUUAGCCUGUGUACCCUGCCUCACUCAUUUGUUCAGUGAAAACCACAAUAAAGUUUCUUGCCAAUGUUUCCUGUCACUCCUUCUAUCUUCUGACCCACUGUUGUGAUUCUUAUUGCUAUGAUUUUUUUCUAACUUGGUCAUGAGGUCUCUCUUUUUAGACUAGCCAUAAACCAAUAUAGCCACUCUCUAGGAGACCUCUGACUCAGGGGAGGGGGAGUUAGAUUCAGGUGUGAGUGUCAGGUGAGACACAGUGGAGGAAGUGAAAACAAAAUGCAUGAAAGGAAGAAAUUUAUUACUCACAGAACCCAAAGAGGUUAGAGAGGCCCAAGAGAAGUGUGAAGAUGGCACGGAGCUCAUCCAGUUGAGGAGGGAAGAGAGGGCACAGGCAAGGGCAAGAGGGGGUGGGUGAGGGCCGGUGGAACUAUUCCUUAGGCUUUCCUAUGGGGGUUAUGGGUCAGCUACUUUAAAUGUUUCAGAAGGAGGAAACUUACUUGCAGGACUCUAGCAUUGGCCAUUAGGCUUUAUCAUGGUCAGCAGCUCUGGAGUGUGUUGGGUUUUGGGUCAGGGGAAUGAGAAACAGACCAUAUAGCUGACAACCACACAGGGAGAAGUUUUAACUGGGUCAAAGAUGACAGAGUAUGACUGGGUUUCAAAUAAUUUGUUUCAGGCCUUAAAAAAAAAUUGGGGCCAGGCACAGUGGCUCACAUCUGUAAUCCCAGCACUUUAGGAGGCUGAGGCAGGUGGAUCACUUUGAGGUCAGGAGUUCUAGACCAGGCUGAUCAACAUGAAGAAAUCUCUACUAAAAAUACAAAAAUUGGCCAGGCAUGGUGGUGCACACCUGUAAUCCCAGCUACUUGGAAGGCUGAGACAGGAGAAUUGCUUGAAUCUGGGAGACAGAGGUUGCAGUGACCCAAGAUCAUGCCACUACACUCCAGCCUGGGCGACAAAGCGAGACUCCAUCUCAAGAAAAACAAACAAACAAAAAAACUGGGCCUGUGUGGCCCUGCAUAGUGUGUCAUGCCCCUUCUUCUUGGGAACUGUAAGUAACAAACUGUAUUUUCAGUGGCAGCUGUCUCCUGAUCCAUUAGCUCUACCAUACCUGAAUAAUAAUAGCACUCAUAUUCUAAAACACUUGCUUCUUAUGAGUAGGAAGAAUGGGUCAGUGCUUCAGAAUCCCAGACAUGUCCAAAGGAAGAGGUGAAGAAAACCAAAUGACCAGAUCAUACCCAGCCUGAUUGAAACACACACAAUAUAAUCACCCCUUUGUCUCUAUGUGUUCACCAACUCUGCAAGUACACCUGUGUAUAGUAUGCUGACAAGCUCUGUCUUCUUCAAUCUGCUAAAUCGUUUUCUACUUUCCUACAUUGCUGUGGGCCAGGAGAGCCCUGGAUGUAAUGGAAAGUGGGGAGGGGUUAAAUCCGUCUAGGAAGGAGAUGGAUGGGUAAAAAAAAAUUGUGUAACAUAUACAAAGGUUUCUAUGAUUACAAGCCUACUAUGAAAUCCAGUCACACCUACCACUCACAGUCCCACUUACUUUGCUCUAAGCAACACUGAUCUCCAAACAUGCUGUGCAUAGUAUUUCCCUUACACGGCACACCUGCAAAUUUAUUCUGCACUUUCAAAUAUAACUUAAAACAAUAGCACUACAUGAAAUGUGCCAUUUUCCCAAGAAGAUUGUAGACUCUUUCCCCUGUACUCGCCAUACCUUACACAAUUCUCCCUUUCUGCAAAUACCAAAUUAUGUUUCUUGGUAUAGUGAUCUUCCCAUGGGCCUACAAAAUCCAUGUGGUCAAAUGACAUGCCUUUCCGUUAUUCCUUCCCUAGAAUCUUCUCCUAUGCCUGACAUCCAUGUUUAAUGAAUGAUCAGACACAAUAUAGGAAGAGGGAUGCUGACUUUUAUGUUUAUGCCUCUAUUCUCAGGAUCUGAAACAGCACCUGAUAUUUAACAGGUGUUCACUAUGUGUCUGUUAAAGAAAAAAAAAAAACAUUAAUGUCUACAAUGAUUUGAUCCUGGGUUUGCCUCUUCUCUCCUUCUUCCUCCAAAGUAUAUUCCUUAAAUUUAACAACCCUUGCCUUCCUUUUCUGUCUAAGGGCUACUGGUAGGUAGGAUAAUGACUCCAAAAGCUGUCUAUGUCCUAAACCUCAGAACCUGUAAAUAUGUUACCAUACAUAAUAGAAGAUAAUUAAGUUUGUAGAUAGUUUAGUGUGCUAAUUAGCUAACCUUGAGGCAGGAAGAUUAUCCUGACUUAUGCAGGUGGGCUCAGUGUAAACACAUAGGUACUCAGAAGUGACUAUGGUGAGAGUGAUGUGAGAACUUUACCUGCUGUUGCCACCUGAAGAUAAUGAAAGGGGCCAUGAGUCAAGGAAUAUGGGAGGCCUCUAGAAGCUAGAAGAGAAAAAAAAAAAACAAAACAAAAACAUAUUCUCUCCUAGAGCCUCCAAAGAGCAAAGUGCCAAUGAGACCCAUCCUGGACUUCUAACCAAAAGAAUUGUAAGAUAAUAAGUUUGUGUUGUUUUUAAGCCACUAAGUUUGCAGUAAUACGGUACAGCAGUAAGAGAAAACUAUUAUAAGGCUCUAUUUCGAAGCAGCUGAAAAAAGGCAGCUGAUGAAGGAAGUCGCGCUGGGAAGUAGCCUAAGAGGCAAAAGUACAAAGACAGGAGUUUGAAUCAGAUGAUGCCACUUUUAAGGGUGGAUUUGUCAGAGACAUAUGAACCAGAGCAACUCCAUCUUAAGUAGGAGCUGGGUAAAAUAAGGUUGAAACCUACUGGGCUGCAUUCCCAGAUAGUUAAGGCAUUCUAAGUCACAGGAUGAGAUAGGAGGUCAGCACAAGAUACAGGUCGUAAAGACCCUGCUGAUGAAACAGGUUGCAGGAAAGAAGCCAGCCAAAACCCACUGAAACCAAAAUAGUCACAACAGUGACCUCUGGUCAUCCUCCCUGCUACAUUCCCACCAGUGCUGUGACAGUUUACCAAUGCCGUGACAUCAGGAAGUUACCCUAUAUGGUCUAAAAGGGGGAAGCAUGAAUAAUCCAUCCUUUGUUUAGCAUAUAAACAGGAUAUAACCGUAAAAAUAGGCAACAAGCAGCCCUCACGGCUACUCUAUCUAUAGAGAAGCCAUUCUUUUAUUCCUUUAUUUUCCAAAUAAACUUGCUUUCACUUUAUGCUAUGGACUCCCCUUGAAUUCUUUCUUGCUUGAGAUUCAAGAAUCCUCUUUUGGGGUCUGGAUAAGAAGCCUUUCCUGUAACAGCUUUCUGGUGAUUAUGAAGAGACCGUAGUGAGGAAACCCCGGAACCAAAGGAUAACUUUGGGUAAGUGUUGGGGUCGUGUAACAUCUUCCUGGCAAACCCUGAAGGGAUGAUACUAAGGAGACCUCCCCCCAACCCAAGGAAAUAGACUGCAGCACUGAUUGGACAACUUUGGAUAAGUGGUGGAGUACCUACUCAGGUAAAGAAUGGGAUUGGGAUAGAGGCCCAACUUAGGGGAGUUAGAGUCUCUCCUAAGACAGAGUGGGUUAAAGGCCCCUCUUAAUAAAAGGCAAGGACACUUGAAUGACCUUGGGUUAGAGGCCCAAUUUAGGAGGAUUAGAGUCCCUUUCUAAGAUUUAGGGGGUUAGUGGCCCCUCUUAGAAAGGUCACUCUGGGUAAAGUCCCUUUGAGCUAAGAACGGUAUGUUAACUGCUAUUCUCUUUGGAUUAAUCUGCCUUGAACUCCUUGCUGACAGCUGUGGGUAACAGGAUUAGGCAGGUACAGGACCAUUGGACAUGGGGAACUAUUUCUCCCUAAAACGGAAAACUUGAGAGCUGAUGGGACUGCUGGAAAAGAUCCUUCACAACUAUCAAGCGGCCACCUGAACUGUUCAGUGUCACUGCAAUGGGUGGGUCUUUCUCUGAUCUCUCUGAGUGCCUCCCCUUCCCCACCCUGCCUCAGGCAAUGCUUUCCUCUUUCUGUCUCUCCCUGUCUCUCUUUCUCUGUGCAAACUGGUUGAAUUAAUGGUAAAAAAUCACUGUUUAUCUCCUAUAAAGUUUUGAUUAAUGGAAGAAAGGAUUUUUGAUGCUAGACUUAAGCUGCAGCAAAUCUGAUGUGCUUUGUGUGUUUUUCUGUAUUAUUCUGUCAUAAAGAGGGGUACCUUAUGAUAGAACACUGGCUUAGGACGCUUUUCAAGGCAGAACAGCAAACUGGUCUGUUACAAACUUUGCUGCAGUUUCCUGAGAAAAACUGGAUGAGUUUUUUUCUUGUCUUGCAUGUCCUUGGGAACUUGAAGCUGUAAGCAUGUGGCCAUGUUUUCUCUUUUCACAAUGGCAUCCUGUGUUCAGGGUUCAAUUUCUGCCUCGGGAUGAAUUUUUUUUAUCUUCUUCUGUGUAUGUAUUUACAUGUAUUAUGUGUGUGUGAUGUUUAUUUCUAAAACAGCAUUGAUUAAUGGGUUUAAUGAGAGCUUAAAUCAAAUAUUUUGUCAGAAAAGUAAAAAGUAUAAUGCCUUUUAGUUCAUGUGACUUAAGUAAUUUUCCAGAAAUAAAGACAGUUUUAAAGAUUAUCAGUAAAAUAAAAAUAUCUUCAAAAAUGUAAACAUUUGGCUUAAAUUAGGCAGGUCAGAUAUUAAGAUUGCUAAAUGCUUGAAGGUCAUAAACUGCUUCUUUAACUUUUGAAAGCUGUUCAAUUUACCUACCUUGAAGCCAUUAGAUUCUAGAUAAGACCUGGGGACCUGCGGAGUUAGCCACGCCCCCUAGCUAUGCUGGAGUCAGCCUUUAUCUGCACUUCUGCCUGGUGUAUCCCAGGCUAGGCUUCACACCUAGUACAUAAUUAAAAUCCCAAAUUUAGCAACUUUUGGUGAAAAACCUUGGUAAGAGUCAACAUUAUAACAUGUAAUUGAUACUACUGAAGAAACAGUUUUAUAUGCAAUUAUGUAAAGAAAGUGAAAUGGCCAGGUGCGGUGGCUCACGCCUGUAAUCCCAGCACUUUGGGAGUCCGAGGCAGGUGGAUCAUAAGGUCAGGAGAUUGAGACCAUCCUGGCUAACAUGGUAAAACCCUGUCUCCACUAAAAAAAUACAAAAAAAAAAUUAGCCGGGCAUGGUGGCAGGUGCCUGUAGUCCCAGCUACUUGGGAGGCUGAGGCAGGAGAAUGGCGUGAACCCAGGAGGCGGAGCUUGCAGUGAGCCGAGAUCACGCCACUGCACUGCAGCCUAGGCGAAAGAGCGAGACUCUGUCUCAAAAAAAAAAAAAAAAAAAGAAAAAUAUUUUUAAUUAAAAAAAUAUAAAGUCAUGGGAAUUUAGAUUUUUGCCUAGAUUAAAGCAUUAAAGGAUGGUUUCAAGUUAGGAUGAAGCUGACUGUUCAAGAAAGCUGUGGAAGGGUUGUGAAAAAAUAACUGUAAAAGAGAUUCUGUGUGCAAACAUUGGCUAAAAUUAAAGGGGUAUUAUUCAGUUUUUCUGGAAACUGAACAUUGGAAUAAAAGCACUACUCUACUCUUUAACAAAAACUUGUAAAGGGUUAUAAAAGGUUUAUAAAAACCUUACCUUAUGGUCAAUAUGAUUAGGAUUGAAGACAUUUGUCUAUAAAGUUUUACUAAGAAUUGGGUUUGACAUCAAUAAUGCACAAAUGCAACAGUGACAUUUGGCUUAUUUAAUAUUACAAUAAUACAAGAAGCAUUAUCAAAUACAAAAUGGCAUUUGGGUUUCUUUGGGCUGUAUUUGUAUAAAUGUGUUACUGGUACAUGUUCCAAAAUUAUUUUUAAAAAUUCUUUAAUCCUGAUAUGACUUAGUGUAUGUUAUUAAUAAUUGUUCAUUAAAAUCAUUGUGUCUCAGAGGCAACCACAUUUUUCUAGUCAAUUUUGGCUUUAAUUGUGGCUGUCCUAAGACUUUUGGUCAUCCAAAAGUGGUCUUGUUUUGGUUCUCUUUAAAAGGUGGUUUAGAAUUAACUGUAGGACUCUACUGGUGCUUUUAAAUGCAGAUUUCUGAUAAGUUUGGACAUUGUGACAUCAGAACAGAGGGAAACCUUUCAGGACUCAGGGAGAGCUAAAAUGUUCAUAAAUAUCAAGCAGAACAGAAGUUAACUGCAUGGACUAAACUAGCAAAAGUCUAAAGUAACCUUUUUAACUUUUUGUGUAAAAUGUUGCUGAUCUUUUGUGUUUCAGAGUCAAGAAAACUUUUGAGCUAUUAUAGCUUUUAGCAAUUGAGUAAAGUAUACUUGUGUGAACAAAAUUGAGAGCAUAUUUUUUUCUUUUUACCUGAUUUCUCUGGAUUUUGUAAACUAGUUGUGAGUAUUCUUAAUUUAUGGCAAUAUAGUUAUUUGCAUGAGUGUAAUAAGAAUCUGUUGGGUUUUGUUUUGUUUUCUUUAUUAUUAUUAUUAUUUUUGGCAACAAGACACAAUUGGAGAAACUGAUUAUUUUACGAAGACUUUGAUGGAAUGGUAUACUCUCCUUUAAGGAAUCAAACUUGACUUGCCAAGUCAAUAAAAGCCCCUUGGAGAAAUGGCCUCAGACCUUUGCUACAACAGUCCCUGUACGUGAUUUCUGACCUGUGACAUCUCACAAAUCCUUAAGGAGGAGGCUGUGUCCCUAGAGUCCUGUAGUCGAGACAUUUGAGAAUUUGGGACCCAGUUGGAAGUGGUUGCGUAUUUCCAUUGUGUGGGAAUAUGUAAAAGGCCCAAGCCUCACCAAGAAGGGAAGACCAGGCUGCUCUCAUCUCAAGGGCCAGUUGCUUCACACACCGGAGUGGGCCUAAUGUUCAAGGAGCUUCUUUCUCCAUUUCUCCCCACAGUGCUUAACGUCUCAGGCCACGGGCUGCCAGCACUCACCUGCCGAGGCCGCCCUGCGGCCUCCCUGUUCUGAGGCCCCUGCCUCUCCCUGAUGAAACUUCCUCCGUGCUAACUUGGCAAGAAAAGGCAAACGCUGCUGUGCUUCCCUUUGCCCUUGAAAAGAAUGAGGUUUAGGGGAGGCUCUGCACAGUCCUGUGCUGUCCGGGAUAGCUGAGCAGAAGCUGUUGAAGCCGGCCUGCUGGACUGAGCUUGGUCCAGCAGCCUAUCCACGUGAGAGCCCUGGCUAUCUGGAGGCACAGGGAGCUGCUGGGCCUGCAGCGUCCCACCUGGAGGGAAAGAACGCACCGCCAAGGAGGCGUGGGCCCUGCAGCCCGUGCUGGGCCGCGAAUCUGGUAGCCACGCUUCUCCGGCGGAACGCGGCGCCCCCUGGCGGCAGAACGCUUGUGGCCGCCGUUACACUCGUGUGGAAACAGCGCCAUCUGCCGAAUGCUCCAUCUCAUUGCUGAUUGGCCCACACAGACUUUGUAAGGAUUUUUCCUUCUGCUUGCUUAAAUCAGGCCAUAUUGAGCCUAUUCAAAGUGUACUUCUGAAAUGAAAAAAGAAAGUGACUGUACAAGAUGUUUUGCUCACUGGAAAAACGAGGAUGAAUGGAAAAUGGGUAGCGAUUAUCUGAAUAAUAUGUGCUUCCUGUCUGUAGUGAGGUGUGAACAUGGUGGGGCCGCACAUUGCAGAGGAAAACGCAUGCAUUUUGGAGUCAGGCAACUGCGAUCAAAUUCUUACUAGCUUUGUGAGCUAGGAAAGUUACUUAGCAUUUCCAAGCCUCAUUUGUCCUUAUCUGUAAAGUAGAAGUACAUUUACCUUGCAGCAUUGUAGCAAAAGUUAAAUAAAACAAUGUGCAUAAAAUGAAAAUUAAAUGUGUAUGAAGUAAGAUAAUAUAUAUAAUAGGUAGACUUUAAAGUAUAACAUAAAAAUAUCACAUAGCCAUUUUUUUCUAAUUGUUAGAAUUGUGAAAUAUUCCUGAAAUGGAUUUAUCAAAUGAGAAGACAGAAUCUCUCUGAGGUAUUUUUAAAUUUUCUCUAGAAUGGUUGAUUCUGACCUUUCUGUAAAAGACGAUCUAUUUCUGGGCACAGAUCCUAGAAACAGAAUUCUGCCAAAGUGAGACUCCACUAACAUUUAUUGAAUGUCUGCCGCAUGCUACACACUUUCAAAGAUGCUCUUUCAUUAUCGCCAGUAAAAUCUGAAGCUUCAGGAUCUAUUCCUCUUCCCAGCAGAAAGUUUUGCCAGGAAUAUCAGAACCUCUUUUUUACAGCCUCUCAAGUACUUUCAAGAUUAUUCAGAAAAGCCCAAAACUUUGAACAACCCAAAUGCCAAUUAACAGGAGAAUCAACGAUACUACAUCCAUACAAUGAAAUAUUACUGGGCAAUGAAAAAGACAAACAACCAGAUAAACAUCAUAGGAGGGACUCUCAAAUCUGAGGCAAAAAUAGUCAGGCCAAAAAAUAUACUGUAUUUGCAUGAAGUUCUAGAAUAUGAAAAUCUAAUUGAUGGUGGUAGAAAUCAGAAUCGUUGUCCGCACAGGAUAGGCGUGGGGAUUGACUGCAGAGGGGCACUAGGGAACUUGUGGGGUGAUGGACAUGUCCUGAAUGUUGAUCUGGGUGCUGAUUGCACAGUUAUGUACAGGCAGUGGUGUGCUGAAGCCCGCUGGCACCAUCAAGAGAGUGGACUGUUAAUUUUUCAGGAUGUCUGCAAGCCAGUCAACAUCACAUUGAUAGCUUGGAAUCCACCACGGUGGAAAUAUUUAUACUCCAGAAAUUGGCAAACACUACAAAGCAGGGCUUUUUUAUCCCACCAGAGAGCCAGUUGUAAAACAUGUAUGAACACACCACUGUAUACAUUUGCCAAAGCUCAUUGAAUUAUAUAUUUCAGAUCUAUGCAUUAUAUUGUAUGGAAAUUAUAUUUCAAAAAUGGGGGUGAAUAAAAGCUCUCUGCUAUCAGAGUGUGCAGAGCACAGCUGGAGGCCCAUGCUGAGCAGCUGGGGAGAAAGGUUGGAAUCAGUCAUUUCUGGGAUGGAAAAGCAAAAUUUAAGAAGUCUUUCUCAGUCAUAAUGGAUCUAAAGCAAGAAAGCAGAUCAAAAUACAUAAGCCUCAGAAUUGAGGCACAAUACUGGGUCAGCAUUUUGAUAAUGGCUGCAUAGAUUACAGAUCAUCAGCCUCACCUUAGCAAGGAGGAACUGGAGGCCCAUAUCAGAAUCCAAUGUUCAUCUUCUAUAAUUUUAUUAAUUUUAUUCUUUAAAUCAUCAGACAGGCCAGGCACAGUGGCUCACACACUUUGGAGGCUGAGACAGGUGGAUCACUUGAGCCCGGAAGUUUGAGACCAGCUUAGGCAACAUGGUGAAACCCUAUCUCUACAAAAUACAAAAAAUUAGCCAGGCGUGGUGGCACAUGACUGUAGUCCCAGUUAUUCAGGAGGCAGAGGUGGGAGAAUCACCUGAGCCCAGGAGCUCGAGGCUGCAGGGAGCCAUGAUCGUGCCACUGCACUCCAGCUUGGAUAACAGAAUGAGACCCUAUCAAAAAAAAAAUAUAUAUAUAUAUAUAUAUAUAUACACACACAAAAAUUUAUUUUUUUGGUGUACAGUUCUAUAAUUUUAACAUAUGUAUAGAUUCACAUAAGCACUGCCACAAUCAGGAUUCAAAAUAGUGCCAUCACACCCCCAAAAACUCCCUCAUGUUUUCCCUUUAUAAUCACAGCCUCUCCCACUCGUAACUCCUGACAACCACAGGUCUAUCCUUCAUCAGUAUUUUAUCUUCUCAAAAAUGAGAAAUACAGUACGUAAACUUCUGAGACUACUUCCUUCCCCCACCCUCCAGCAUCAUGCCUUGGAAAGUGCUCAGUUGCUGCAUGUGUAAAUAGUUCAUUCCUUUCUACUGCUGAGUAGUAUUUCAUUGUAUGGAUAUACCACAACUUCUUUAUGCAUUUACCUGUUCAUUCACCUGUUGAAGGACAUUUGCUUGGAGCAAUUAUGAAUAAAACAUCAAAUAAUCAUAGAAUUAUCAAUAGAACAUUUAUACACAGGUUUUUAUGUGAGCAUUAAGUUUUCAUUUCUCUAGGAAGUGGGGUUUCUGGGUUAUAAGACAAAUACAUGUUAACUUUGUAAGAAACUGCCAAACUUUUCCAGACUGGCUAUACCAUUUUUUAUUCCCACUCACAAUGUAUAAGAAUGGAAAUAGAGCUUUGGGAAGCCGAGGCAGGCAGAUCACAAGAUCAGGAGAUUGAGACCAUCCUGGCUAACAUGAUGAAACCCCGUCUCUACUAAAAACACGAAAAAUUAGCCAGGCACAGUGGCGGGUGUCUAUAGUCCCAACUACUCAGGAGGCUGAGGCAGG